rnacentral:lncRNA from 1 species
AACACCGAGCCCGGAACGCACAGCCCGCAGCACCGAGCCCGGCUCCUCCCCGCGGACGCCUCGUACCCGCUCCGCUCUUUCAGAACGAUUAUGAGUCUCUAGCGAACUUUAUUAGUAUCCGGGUUCACCGAGCUACUCCUUGCCGACGCCGCCGGGGAUGGAGGGCGCGCCGGACUCCCGCCCGCCGCGCUGAGGAGCAUGCGCCACCUGGUCUGCGCAUGCUCAGCACCGGCCCCGCCCUGCGCUGGCAGGGAAGGCGCGGGCUGGGUUUGCACAGCAUCAGGCCUUGGUACCCAAGGAGACCAAGGGUAUGACUGAACAAAAUAGAAGACCGUGAUGGCUAACAACUCAGAAAACUAACCCACAAAUUUAAAAAGGUCCUGCAAAAAAGCAAACUCGCUUCAAACGCGGCGUGGAAACACACGUGUGUGAUCCUAGUACUUGGAAAGAUGGUGUGGCAUGAAGAUCAGGAUUUCAAGGCCAGCCUGAACUACAAUAAACUAUGUCUCAAAAUACA